rnacentral:lncRNA from 1 species
ACAUGCUGUCUCUCUGCCCUGGCCUCUUCCACCCCAUGCCCAGUCAGAGACCGUUUUGAGGGUAGAGAAGCCAGUCUACGGCCCACCACGGGAGCCACCGCCUGGGCCAGACAUGAAGCGCUGGCAGAUUUUUGUCCUGUGGGUCUUUUGGGUGCUCAUCCUCUGGCUGAUGACCCCCUAUCUGGAUCUGACACCUGAAUCAGCACCCCAGGAAAAACGAAUGUACUUGGUACCACAGCAUUGCGACUGCCCUUGGUUCAGUUCCGGGAAGUGUGGCUGCCCUUCUGAGACCCUCAACUGCUCCUCCUGCCACCACACAGCCGACGAAUGGAACUGGCUUGAUGCGUGCUCCAGGAAGACUAUGGGGGCAUGAACUCAGGGAGCGAGCUUGGGAAAUUGUGGAGGAAGCUGUUUAAAGGGAUUCCCAGGCUCUCGGUGAGCCAUUUUGAUUUCUAUUGUGGGACUUGUGUGCUGUUGGGGCGCCCACAGAUCCCGCAGGGC